rnacentral:rRNA from 1 species
UAAGGUCUAACCUGCCCAAUGAGGAUUUAAAUGGCCGCAGUAUUUUGACUGUGCAAAGGUAGCAUAAUUAUUAGUUUUUUAAUUGAAAGCUUGUAUGAAGGGUUGGACGAGAUAAGAUCUGUCUUUAUUUAAAUUAAAAUAGAAUUUAACUUUUAAGUCAAAAGGCUUAAAUGUUUAUAAAAGACGAGAAGACCCUAUAGAUUUUUAUUUAAUUAAUAUUUUGAUAAUUUAGGAUUAUUUUAAUUUAAAAUUUUAAUUAAAUUUUAUUGGGGUAAUAUAAAGAUUAAAUAAAUUCUUUUUAUUUAUUACAUUGAUUUAUGAAUAUGUGAUCCAGUAUUAUUGAUUAUAAGAUUAAGUUACCUUAGGGAUAACAGCGUAAUUUUUUUGGAGAGCUCAUAUCGAUAAAAAAGUUUGCGACCUCGAUGUUGGAUUAAAAAUUAUUUUGGGUGCAGAAGCUCAAAAUUUUGGUCUGUUCGACCAUUAAAUUUUUACAUGAUCUGAGUUCAGACCGGCGUGAGCCAGGUCGGUUUCUAUCUUUAUUUAAUUAAAAUAUUUUAGUACGAAAGGACCAAAUAUUUAAUAUAAUAAUAUUUAUUUUUGAAUAAUAUUAUUACUUUGGCAGAGUAGUGCAAUGAAUUUAGAAUUCAUAAAUGUAAUUAUAUUACAAGUAAUACUUGUUUUUGGGAGAUUUACUUUUAAUAGUAUUUUGUAUGUUAAUUCUUGUAAUUUGUGUAUUAGUUGGGGUUGCAUUUUUAACUUUAUUGGAACGUAAGGUUUUGGGUUAUAUUCAGAUUCGCAAGGGUCCAAAUAAGGUUGGAUU